rnacentral:lncRNA from 1 species
GGACAACGUGCUCAAAGCAUGUCCGACUGACUGGAUGAUGUGUUGGAGAAAUGCAUCUAUCUUCCAUGCAUGACAUGUGCACUCAGCUUUUUGGACUCACACAUCAGUCAGAUUAUUCCAGCAUUUUUUUUUUUUUUUUUAAGAGUGGGUCUUGCUGUGUUUCCCAGGCUGGAGUGCAGUGGCAGUAAACAAGCACAAUUAGGUAUGAUCGAAGCACACUGCGGCCUUGAACACCAGGUAUCUGGGACCACAGACACAUGUCACCAUGCCCGGCUGUAGAUUAUUCCAACUCUGAAUAAUUUAAAAAUAGCUCAUCGCUACUUUUUUUUUUUUUUUUUGAGAGAUGGAGUCUUGCUGUGUCACCCAGGCUGGAGUUGCAGUGAGCCGAGAUCGCACCACUGCACUCCAGCCUGGGCAAAAGAGUGAGACUCAGUCUCAAAAAAAGAAGAAAAACAGGAACGUGAAUGGAGGAACUCCCCUUGGAAAGGCUGGAAGGAAGAUGGCUAAAUGGCAAGGGAAGUAAGACCCUGCAAAGAUUGCACCUCAUCAAAAGGCCACCCAAUAGUGGUGCGGUUCCCAGCCUCCGUAAUUACAGCAGAGAUCCAGGAGGCCUUCCGUGUGUAGGGGGCCUCUUGGGACCUAAUUUCAGCUGCAGGUCUGUCUCGUGGAGGUGGCAGCAGUGGGGAUCUCCCAACUCAGGGUGGAGUCCCCCUUUCUAGCAGGCGCCAUUUGGGUAAGAAGUGGCUUGGGAAGGCUGUACUUCCCUGGAAAGCCAGUAGGGGGCACUUGAACUAACAUUGGGCCCUAAGUACAGAGGAUCUUUCUCUUCCCUCUCUUCCUUCUCUUUUCCUUUUUUGUCCGGU